rnacentral:tRNA from 1 species
GCGGGCGUAGCUCAAUUGGUAGAGCGUCAGCCUUCCAAGCUGAAUGUUGCCGGUUCGAGUCCGGUCGCCCGCU